rnacentral:rRNA from 1 species
UACGGAGGAUGCGAGCGUUAUCCGGAUUUAUUGGGUUUAAAGGGAGCGUAGACGGGAUGUUAAGUCAGCUGUGAAAGUUUGGGGCUCAACCUUAAAAUUGCAGUUGAAACUGGCAUUCUUGAGUGCGGCAGAGGCAGGCGGAAUUCGUGGUGUAGCGGUGAAAUGCUUAGAUAUCACGAAGAACUCCGAUUGCGAAGGCAGCUUGCUGGAGCGUAACUGACGUUGAUGCUCGAAAGUGGGGGUAUCAAACAGG